UUGUCAAGCCCAGUAGACAGCAGCAACCCCGAUGUCUUCACGUCGUGCGCUCCACCCCGAUUUGCGCAGCCCCUGCGCGACGUCGUCCACCCGCUAGAUGUUGACGCUGUGCCACGCGCACCAAGCGUUCGACGAAAUGCCCAACCAACGGACAGCACGCGGGUCUCGAACCCGAUUCGGCUAGGGAAGGAGAAGAAAGCGAAGUAG
rnacentral:misc_RNA from 1 species